GAGCCUGUAGCUUAGUCCGGUGGAGCGCCAGUCUUAUAAGCUGGUGGUCCGGGGUUCAAAUCCCCGCAGGCUCA
rnacentral:tRNA from 1 species